UGGGUAGUCCGCACGAGCGCAACCCUGUCCUUAGUUGCCAGCACAUAAUGGUGGGGACUCUAAGGAGACUGCCUGGGAUAACCAGGAGGAAGGUGGGGAUGAUGUCAAGUCAGUAUGUCCCUUAUGUCCAGGGCUACACACGUACUACAAUGGCCGGCACAGAGGGCUGCGAAGUCGCAAGGCGGAGCGAAUCUCAGAAAACCGGUCGUAGUCCGGAUUGCAGUCUGCAACUCGAGUUCAUGAAGUUGGAAUCGCUAGUAAUCGUAGAUCAGCGUGCUACGGUGAAUACGUUCUCGGGCCUUGUACACACCGCCCGUCACGCCAUGGAAGUUGGUUUUACCUUAAGCCUGUGUGCUAACCGCAAGGGGGCAGCAGUCCACGGUAGGGUCAGCAACUGGGGCGAAGUCGUAACAAGGUAGCCGUAGGGGAACCUGCGGCUGGAUCACCUCCUCUCU
rnacentral:rRNA from 1 species